rnacentral:rRNA from 1 species
UACAGAGGCCUCGAGCGUUAAUCGGAGUCACUGGGCUUAAAGGGUGCGUAGGCUGGUCCGCAAGUGUCUUGUGAAAUCCCACGGCUCAACCGUGGAAUGGCUCGACAGACUGCGGGUCUGAGGUCGGUAGGGGUCGCUGGAACUCUAGGUGGAGCGGUGAAAUGCGUAGAUAUCUAGAGGAACGCCAAAGGUGAAGACAAGCGACUGGGCCGAUUCUGACGCUGAGGCACGAAAGCGUGGGGAGCGAACGGG